GACGAACGCUGGCGGCGUGCUUAACACAUGCAAGUCGAACGGAAAGGCCCUGCUUUUGUGGGGUGCUCGAGUGGCGAACGGGUGAGUAACACGUGAGUAACCUGCCCUUGACUUUGGGAUAACUUCAGGAAACUGGGGCUAAUACCGGAUAGGAGCUCCUGCUGCAUGGUGGGGGUUGGAAAGUUUCGGCGGUUGGGGAUGGACUCGCGGCUUAUCAGCUUGUUGGUGGGGUAGUGGCUUACCAAGGCUUUGACGGGUAGCCGGCCUGAGAGGGUGACCGGCCACAUUGGGACUGAGAUACGGCCCAGACUCCUACGGGAGGCAGCAGUGGGGAAUAUUGCACAAUGGGCGGAAGCCUGAUGCAGCAACGCCGCGUGCGGGAUGACGGCCUUCGGGUUGUAAACCGCUUUCGCCUGUGACGAAGCGUGAGUGACGGUAAUGGGUAAAGAAGCACCGGCUAACUACGUGCCAGCAGCCGCGGUGAUACGUAGGGUGCGAGCGUUGUCCGGAUUUAUUGGGCGUAAAGGGCUCGUAGGUGGUUGAUCGCGUCGGAAGUGUAAUCUUGGGGCUUAACCCUGAGCGUGCUUUCGAUACGGGUUGACUUGAGGAAGGUAGGGGAGAAUGGAAUUCCUGGUGGAGCGGUGGAAUGCGCAGAUAUCAGGAGGAACACCAGUGGCGAAGGCGGUUCUCUGGGCCUUUCCUGACGCUGAGGAGCGAAAGCGUGGGGAGCGAACAGGCUUAGAUACCCUGGUAGUCCACGCUGUAAACGGUGGGUACUAGGUGUGGGGUCCAUUCCACGGGUUCCGUGCCGUAGCUAACGCUUUAAGUACCCCGCCUGGGGAGUACGGCCGCAAGGCUAAAACUCAAAGGAAUUGACGGGGCCCCGCACAAGCGGCGGAGCAUGCGGAUUAAUUCGAUGCAACGCGUAGAACCUUACCUGGGUUUGACAUGGAUCGGGAGUGCUCAGAGAUGGGUGUGCCUCUUUUGGGGUCGGUUCACAGGUGGUGCAUGGCUGUCGUCAGCUCGUGUCGUGAGAUGUUGGGUUAAGUCCCGCAACGAGCGCAACCCUUGUUCACUGUUGCCAGCACGUUAUGGUGGGGACUCAGUGGAGACCGCCGAGGUCAACUCGGAGGAAGGUGGGGAUGACGUCAAGUCAUCAUGCCCCUUAUGUCCAGGGCUUCACGCAUGCUACAAUGGCUGGUACAGAGAGUGGCGAGCCUGUGAGGGUGAGCGAAUCUCGGAAAGCCGGUCUCAGUUCGGAUUGGGGUCUGCAACUCGACCUCAUGAAGUCGGAGUCGCUAGUAAUCGCAGAUCAGCAACGCUGCGGUGAAUACGUUCCCGGGGC
rnacentral:rRNA from 1 species